rnacentral:lncRNA from 1 species
ACACAAGUGAGCGGAGAGCAUGAUUUCUGAAUGACAAGGAGGACGGUUUAUUGGGAGUUGACAGGUGCAGGAGGAAGGGCUGGGCUGGACCAGGGUCGCGGGGGGAGACCCUCGCGGGGGUCCUGUGGCUCCAGGCCCCUGAGGGUGGGGGCCCAGGGACCUAGGCGCACUCGGAGGGCGUCACUGUCUUCUCCACAAUGGUCCCCUCGUGGGUGACCUGGCAGGUGAAGCCGCUGGAAGAUUUCCAGUCACUGGCGGACAGGGCCAGGUAGCUGCUGGCCGCGUACUUGUUGUUGCUCUGUUUCGAGGGCUUGGUGGUCUCCACGCCCUGGGUGACGGUGGUGCCGCCUGCCUUCCAGGUGAAGCCGCUGGAAGAUUUCCAGUCACUGGCGGACAGGGCCAGGUAGCUGCUGGCCGCGUACUUGUUGUUGCUCUGUUUCGAGGGCUUGGUGGUCUCCACGCCCUGGUGACGGUGGUGCCGCCUGCCUUCCAGGUCACCGUCACGGCGCCCGGGUAGAAGUCACUUAUUAGACACACCAGGGUGGCCUUGUUGGUGCCGAGCUCCUCAGAGGAGGGCGGAAGAGGUUGACCGUGGGAGCGGCCUUGGGCUGACCUGGGGUCGGGGAGAGACGGGAGGUCGUUGGCUCAGUGUCCAUCAGGGGAAUCCCCUG